AAUACCACUUUGAUGGAGUCGUACAUACAUGAAUACCACUUUGUAUUAGUUUAAUACUGGAUUUCUAAAAGUGUUUGUACUACAGAAUACUAUAUUUUGUUGUAUUGCGCAAUAGUUCCACGUCAUAGAAAAUCUUUCACUUUACAUCACACUAAAAAUAAAAUCCACUUGAACCUCGUCAUUAAUGAGAUGAAUGAAGAAGGAAUUUUUACGAGAUUCUCAAAUCCCUUCAUUCAACAAGAAGCCAACAAGGAGCAUGGCCUAACUGCAUAACAACCUUUUUUACCUUUUCCUCUCCUCCUCUGUCGUCAAAAAGUAGCCAAACCCAUAAAAUUUGAGAUCUUGUAACAAACAGUCCUUAUUUUCAACUUUGUUGAGCCCAACUGCCAAGGUGGAGGUGGAAGCACGUCUUUAAGAUUUGAACAUGAACAUCGCCCAUAAAAACUAUCGGGCUCAAAAGAUGAGGAUAAGAGGCGACAGACAAACUUUAGUGUGGUAUUCAAUCCGAAGAAGGAGAGCGAGAAUGGGCUUGUGUAAUGUGUACGUGUACCAAAAAAGAUACAGGCAUCACACACAAAUGAAAGACGAUUACAUGGCCACCGGUCAAGCUCAAUGCUUGGUCAAUAGCGCUUUGUAGUCGUCGUUUUAUAGAAAGGAGCAGGACUCCUAAACUGAAACCUUUUAGGGGAAGACGCACUCAAGAGAUAAAUAACAAGUGAAAAGAGAUGAUUCAUCGCAUUCAUUCAACAUAAGCCAACCCAGCUCAGGUUGAGUUUAUAGCCAACAACGUACAUACAAAACUGUGUACACGGCUUUCUCAACUUGUAUCCGCAUUUCCUCCUUUCCUUUUUCCUCCCAAGCAGCAGCUAUGAAAGUGUGUAGCACUUGUCCCUAAUUUUUUGAUACGAUACAAGAUUCGCUAUGCCAAGAAGCCAACAUUUUUUUAUCAGCAAGGUGGAUCCGACCGUACAUACAUAUAAAAAUAAAGGUGGGACGGACCUGGCGCCAGACAGGUAAGGAAGUUUGGCCAAGUUGAGUUAAACCUUAACAUCCUCGGUCGCAGCAUGCUACACAUAAAUCAUGUGAAGAAACUGGACGACCGGAUAUCAUUUUUAUUUCUAAUGUUUAUCCAAUACAAAUGAUGUGCCAUGUGAGUCAUUUGGUCCGAAAAAUGUGGGAAAUUAAGUUGAUUUACGGGAUAGCCGCUCAGUUCCUGAAACACUUGGCAAAAUUCAAAUUAGAAGUGUAGUACAGUGCGUGGAGCGUGUAUGUACGAAACAAUUUAAUAAAGGGUGCCUCGUGAUGGUUAUGAUGAUGAAGAUUUGGUCAAAAUUACGUGUCUGGUGUGGUAUUACUCAAUUCCCAGAAUUAAUGAAGUGCCCUUUCCUCUCUCUCUCUCUCUUCCAGAGAAAAUCCAUCGUUUAUGUCUCCCGGAUUUGGAUUGGAUGUCUUAAAAGAUAUUCACUAAAGUAAAGCAAUGAAAUGAGGUAUAGCUUAAGUUGUAACUGCACACACAUAAACCCAAAAAUCCACCUACAAGUUAAGGUACUUCCCCUCUCACUCUAACAUUAUUACAGUUCUUACUUCUUCUUCUUUACCCGUGGCGUGGGAUAAGUAAGUAUCCAGAGACCGGAAAGAAGUGACACAGUAAAAGUUGGGAGGUAGGCGAGCGAGCCGUGGAUACCGUAAAGGUAAAAGUGACGCUCGUAGUACUAUAGGUACAUACAUGCCCAUACUUAACUUGGCUAGAGGAGCUGUUGGGCAAGAUUUUUUGUCACUUGGCUUGACUUCGAGGAAGAACAGUAUUUUAUGAAAUAUUAUCCAUAGCUUUAGUGGAGCAGUAGAGAUUCCACUACGUCCACCAACCAACCAACCGGUGAUUUACCUCCUUUAUCCUGCGUUUUUCGGCCAAAAAGUAAAUGGGAGGUAGACGUUACGAAUGCGAGUAAAACUACCUUUUACAUUAUGACCCAACAUACAUACAUGGGUUGCAUAUGUACUACAAGUGAAGACCUGUGGUUCUUACUACUCCUUACUUUUGCUACCUUACGUCAUACUCACCAAGAAGGAACGAUCAUCUCAUAAUGCCACGCAACAUCUAGAGACUAUUACUUACAUGGCAUUACCGGCUCACUCACUCCGAGUAUGUAGCAACUUGUACUUACUGAGAGAAAAGGACGUUAAAAAGAAAUAUAUUUUUCGGAUUUUGGACCAGUUGUGCUGCACACGGCUGGCCAGGGCUGCUGCUGCUGGUGUAAAAUAAAAAUUUUAGGAAAAAAUGGUGGUCCUAGAGUCAUCGCCUCAUGUUGCGGCUGCUUGUUUCUUCUGCUCUCCUAGUUCAAUGAGCACACAAAUAGAUGGGUCAUUUUUAGAUUUGUCCUCUCUGUGAAAUAUUCUUUAAACUCACGACUCGGAAAUUUUCCAAUCAAUUUUUGCUUUUUACCAGACACAUUACCGGCCUCUCUCUCUCUCUCCGCCUAACCUACAUACAUUGUGGGGGAAAUCAUGACCAUGUCAACUAAUAAUAUAUGGCGGUCAUGUGUGCUUGCAAAAUCAACUCAUUUCAUCUUGGCUUUUGUAGUUUGUUCCAUGAAAUGGACAAACAGGAGCAAGUUGGCCAGUUUCAUUUCAUGCUCAUGUUGAUACAGAAAGACUAAAAUGAAAGUAAAGGACAGGAAAUAUAGAGCAGAAUGAGAAGGAGAGAGGAAGGUGGGUGGGUGGUUGGUUGGGUCGUGGAAUGGCGUGCCGGACGGACAGAGAUAGAGUCUGGUUCGAGAAAUAUAUAUCGAGAAAUGGUUCUGGUGGUUGCUUGUCCAUUUGGGGCGAGGAGGAAUAAUACUGGAAAUGAAGCAAGGUAUUUGGUUUGGUAAAGUUGGAUUGCUUCAGCUUUUGCUGCUCCUCGUUCGAAAGGAUGAGUGCCCACUAGUGAUAACGACACGACAGCAGUCAGUUCGCUCACUAUGUGUCAAAACUUCCCAUUCCUGCGCGACAACCAAGCUCAAAGUCAUCUACAAAUUCUCCGCACAAAAACUCGACCAAGUAAACCGUCCAGAAUUGGUCGUUCAGACCAAGGAGGUGGAAGAGGUGUGAAAUCAUUCCUUCUUUUUUUGGGGACGCAUACAUACCACAUAUAAAUACGUAUCUGAUUGUAGGUACACUGUUAUGUAUGUAAAGUGGUGACAAGUUUUUAAGUUAUGAAACUUGUUUAUGCAGAAUAAAGUUUAUGAACUUUCUGUUUGAGGCAAGUUGCGUAAUAAUGGUUUUGCGAAUACUUAUAUCAAGUAAUACAAUUAAGAUCUGUCUGCCUGUAUAUUUUCAUGGAAAUGUAAACAGGCUAAUAUGUACAUACUUAUGUAAUCGCGGAACGACGACGAAACAAAGGUAUUCUGUCGGAUCGUAUUAUUACAAUUACAGGCAGAAAACAGGCAGUUUUUGUAGAGGCAGGAAAGCUUUCACCAUUCCACACUUAUGGCGACUCUGUACUUUCACCCUGGCUGAAAUGUAAGAGAUUAUUGGAUUGGGGGAGGGCUGGGGUGGCGAUGAGAGUAAUCUGUUAAGUAGCACGGAGUACCAGGUGCGACAUGCCAUGCAGUUUGUCUCACCUCACCUUCUUGUUAGGAGACUCGAGAAGCAGGAGGUUUUCUCUCACCAGGAGAGUGUAUCCUGCGACGAGAGGCUGCAAUCCUGUGAAGUGAACACUACCACCUCCACCAGGAGAGAGGAAACUUCAUCCAAUUAAUACCACACCGACUCUUGCUGCUGCUUGUGCCGUAUAUAAAUAGACCACCACCUUCCUAAAACUAGUUGGUCCAUAGGAUGACGCGAGGAGGACUACUACAACCUGGUCACUUAAUACUAACUAUUUGUCUUCUUGUCGAGUCCAGGUUGUCGCCGUCUCUGGAGAAUUUCUGCUCCCUUGUCUCUAUUUCACUUCACUUUCACCUGCUUUCCCUCACUUAUCUUUGCAAUGGGCGUCCUGGUUCCUUUACUCUAGAGAACGACUGAUUAGAUAAUGGUUCUGAUUAGGAAAAAAUAUAAGUAUUUCUCGAUGUUAGUAAAAAAAAUCUAAUGCUAAUUUCAUUAUCUUAAUGAAUACAAUUUUUCUUAAAUACGCAUUUUUAGCCAAAUGUUGAACUUAAUUUAGCAGUAAAUCCCACCCACUCAUUUAUCAAACCGAGUCCUCGCACCGUGGCGAAAUAAUAAAGUAUUAGGAGCAGCAGUAGAAACAAAAGUGGAAACAGCGAUAGAUCACAUUGUACGGAAAAGAUCAAACUUUUCGCAUCAACAGUGCUCAACUGUUAGUAUUACAAUACACACACAAGUUCAGGACCACGGGCGGAGGGAGUUCUCUAAUAUAAAACCAUACCAUCAUACCUGUACACUUUCUCAAUCAAAUCAGACAAAUGCCUUCUACGCCUUCUCAACAACCCGUACUUUCUCCAGUCCAAUUCCAAUUGAAUCUUCUUUGUUCAUCCAUCUCUCGCUCGCUCUCUCUCUUUACCUGUUUACUUUACGAUACUCUGUGUCGAACAGAGAAGAACACACGUUUCUGCUCCCACCUUCUUAUUACCUGACUGAUCUCUACUCUCCUGGAACUUUCACUCACUAUGUAGCAUCACCACCAUUAACGUGGUGGAGGUAUACGUAUACUUUCUACAUACAUAUUUGCCCUCGCCCCCAACCUACUUUCCCCCUAAGCCUGAUUAUACUUUGAAAGUACUUUCUUCGAUUACUUGUUCUUCCUGCUAUGAUGCCAAAUGUCUCGUUUGGAUCCUUCCAUUUUGAAGACGACAUGAAAAUGAGGCAAAAACAAAUAAAUUGGAAUAAUGUUGCUGUAAUUGAUUUCGAACACUAAUUUAGAAAAUAAUACCAUUUCUGGGCUAACUUUUCAUACCAGAUGGUAAAUAAGAAAAUGUAAUUCUGUUUCACUCUCUCUCCUCGUAGGAGUAACUAAUGCCUAAAACUACAAGAGAACCAAUCUCAUCGAAGGUUCUUUAUUCAGUGGAAUUAUGCGGUGGAUGGUUGUUCUUUUCAACUGUUCGCCCCCAUCUUCUUCUUCUUAUUUAUCGAUCCUUCCUCUAAUUGGGGAAAUGCAGGUAAAAGAGAAAGACAGAUGGUGAAACGAAAUGGCUAGUUUACCUUUUCGUAUCGGAAAUAGCAACUUCCUGUUUGAUCUCUGUUUCGUUGCGUGGAGAGAGAAGAAGGAGAUAAACUAACUCUCAGCAGCCGCAUCCCACUCACUCACCAACCAACCACCACUGCCCCCUCAAUUCAUCUCGACUUAUGUAACUCGCCCUCCCUUUUCCUCGGAUGCCAGUAAUAGUUUAUUUUUCUCAUUAACUUUUCACGAUAAUGUUCAGAGAAUGGUAAGUAACAACUAAUUCCAAAUGUAAAGAAAGCAGGAUUUAUCUCAAAUGCGAUGAUUUAUGAAUCUGCAGUCUGAUUUUCGAGGAAAAGUAAUAAAUCAGUGUAAACCAGGAGCAGCAGCAGUCACCUGUUUUACCUGAUUUACUAUGGAGGAAAAUCUGUCUGCCUAAUUUUAUUUUACCAUCUACUCCUCCGCUCUAGUAGGUUUACUCGGAAUAUUAAUUUAUUAGAGUAGCGAAAUCUCGGCCAGAGUGGCAGAGAGGAAGAGAGGUGAGUAAAGUAAAGGUAUGCGCACAUUUCCUUCUCCAUUUUCUCUCUCAGCAUAAUUGCAAGAUUACAUUAUUGGAAGAACAAGGUUCAACUUAAAGCGAGCACCUUCUCUUUAUUCGCUUAUUCUUUCUCCUCUCUCUCCAUUCACCGAUGUAGUACUUUCCUUCCUUCCAAAGUGAGAGAGCAGCGAGAGAGGCGGAGGGAGAGAUUAAGGAGCGGUGCAGGUGUUGCACUUAGGAAGGAAAGGUGUUAAAAUGUUAAAGGGCAGAGGGAGACGAAGGUCGAACCCAUUCCGACCUUCUUGCCACGAAGAGCCAGGUGAUUUUCUCGCCUUUCUCCACUCUUCUUCCUCCUUCCUCGAGAAAAAGGAAUAAAAUGGGGAAAGCGACCAGUUAAUUACGACGGGGCACCCGUGGAUCAAGUAAAAUAUGAAAUGUCUCGCCAGUUCCGUCAUCACGGAGGAAGAAGCAAAGUCCAAAAGUCAUCAUCAUCAUGAUCAUCACAAACCAGGCAGGGUGCUGCAGUAUAUAAGGCUAACGUGGUACUAAUAAUACUUCAACAGCCAACGAUCAACAUCACCCAAACAUUUCGCAUCAGUCAACCCACUCACAAAAGACGAGUUUGAACAGUUCUUCUGCGAGUGAGUGAGAGUAGCUUUACUACUUUCACUACUACGUGAAUGGUGCUGUCUGUCUUUACGAGUUGGUUAGUUGUAGUAGUGUAGUCGUACCUGCCAUGAAGUGGGGGGUGCAACCACACUUAUUCGCCCAUCGUCUCAUCCCAAGAUUCUUAACUGUCACGAAUUACAGUACGGAUUUCUGCUUACAAGAUCUCAGUAUUAAACUGAUCACAAAAUAUUUGUAUCAUACUCUUCCUAGUUGAGAGAUGAUGUUAUUCCUCUACGCAUACCUGCAUCCAUCCAUCCCUCAGCUUGACUUAACUUGAGUCACGUUCUCCUCAUUUCAGUCCUGCUUGGCCUGGCCCGGUGUUGGUGAAGUGGAGUGAAAGUUGGCUCUCAACAAUUGACGUUGACUUGGCUCAUUCAUUCACAAAAUCCAAUAAAGCUGCCUUGACUUGAGAAGAAAGGUAGCAUAGACGAGGAGGAGAUGGUUGGUGGCAGUUGUAGUAGUGGUCGUGGUGGUAAAGUAGUAAGAUCCUCUCGCGUAGGUGCAUGGGUAGUUUGUAAGAAGAAAAAGUAUUAUGAACCCUCUUUGUACCCAGAGGAAUAUCCAUCUAACAAAUGUCACGCAAUAAUAAGCGGGAUGGAUGCAUUUCUCAAGGAGGUUGGCUGCUGCUACUUGCUUGUUUGUUGAUUCGUGCGGAAUUUUUUCCCUGCCCGGUCCGUAAAUGAUGAGAGGAAGUACGUACGUAUGCGAGAAUUAUACAGUUAGGCGAAUGAGGACUCGUGAAUUAGAGUCAUCACCUUUACUUUCACCCACUUCAUCCCAGCCUGUCAGACCGUCUCCUUGGUGGAGGAGAAGAAGUUGAAGAAGAGGAGAAGAAGAAAAGUGAGAGGAGGAAAGUCGAAGUUGGGCAUAAGUGGCUGUUCAGUCAGACUACCUCCUCACCUUUCCUUUUACUUUCACCUUUCUCCCUCUCUCUCUUGCUAAAAGGCUUCACGAUUGAGUGAAGUCAAGUGUCUGACUCAAGUGCAGUAACUAUUACUUACGACCCUUAUCAAUCAAUGUUUCCCUCUCGACUCCAUUUUAAUUUUUCAUUUUUUUCUCCCACUUUCAUUCAUUUCAGUUCAGCCCAUUUUCUCUUCACCUUCACCAAAAGUCAGAAAUUCGUGUCAUUCAGGGUAUGAGUGGAGAGGAGGGAAAAAAGUUGUAUGCAUGGAAAAUGAUACUUGGAUUUGUAAUCUGUUUUCCAUUUGUUCAACACAC